rnacentral:rRNA from 1 species
CCUACGGGACGCAGCAGUGAGGAAUAUUGGUCAAUGGGCGAGAGCCUGAACCAGCCAAGUCGCGUGAAGGAUGACGGCCCUACGGGUUGUAAACUUCUUUUGUCAGGGAGCAAUUGGGUCCACGCGUGGGCUUAGCGAGAGUACCUGAAGAAAAAGCAUCGGCUAACUCCGUGCCAGCAGCCGCGGUAAUACGGAGGAUGCGAGCGUUAUCCGGAUUUAUUGGGUUUAAAGGGUGCGUAGGCGGUCCGUUAAGUCAGCGGUAAAAUUGCGGGGCUCAACCCCGUCGAGCCGUUGAAACUGGCAGA